rnacentral:rRNA from 1 species
UACGUAGGGUCCGAGCGUUGUCCGGAAUUACUGGGCGUAAAGAGCUCGUAGGUGGUUUGUCGCGUUGUUCGUGAAAACUCACAGCUCAACUGUGGGCGUGCGGGCGAUACGGGCAGACUUGAGUUCGGUAGGGGAGACUGGAAUUCCUGGUGUAGCGGUGAAAUGCGCAGAUAUCAGGAGAACACCCGUGGCGAAGGCGGGCUC